UACGAAGGGGGCUAGCGUUGCUCGGAUUGACUGGGCGUAAAGGGCGCGUAGGCGGAUAGUACAGUCAGGCGUGAAAUUCCUGGGCUCAACCUGGGGGCUGCGUUUGAUACGUAUUGUCUGGAGUUCGGAAGAGGGUCGUGGAAUUCCCAGUGUAGAGGUGAAAUUCGUAGAUAUUGGGAAGAACACCGGUGGCGAAGGCGGCGACCUGGUCCGAUACUGACGCUGAGGCGCGAAAGCGUGGGGAGCAAAC
rnacentral:rRNA from 1 species